rnacentral:rRNA from 1 species
UACAGAGGGUGCAAGCGUUGUUCGGAAUUAUUGGGCGUAAAGGGCGCGUAGGCGGUGCGGUAAGUCUGUAGUGAAAUCUCUGGGCUCAACUCAGAGUCUGCUAUAGAAACUGCCGUGCUAGAGUGUGGGAGAGGUGAGUGGAAUUCCCGGUGUAGCGGUGAAAUGUGUAGAUAUCGGGAGGAACACCUGUGGCGAAAGCGGCUCACUGGACCACAACUGACGCUGAGGCGCGAAAGCCAGGGGAGCGAACGGG